UAGAAAACGCGCUCUUUUAGUAUUUCUCUAGUAGGUUUCCUGAAGGAGAAAGCCUCC
ensembl:snRNA U7 U7 small nuclear RNA